UCUAUGUAGAAAUAGCCAUUUCUAACCAAAUGUGACACUUACCUUUAAUCCUUUGUUUCCCCUCAACCCAGGCUCAAUUUGGCUGCAACACACAAUGUGUCGGGGCAUUGAUGCCUACUCAGUGUGUAGUCAUGUAGGUUGCUUUAAUUCAGACCACUGCCUACUCCAAGAUUAUCCGAAAAACACGAGCUGUUGACACUACGGAGACACCUGGAGUGGUGUGUUUGUACCUAAGAUCCGCAGGUGGGGCUCACACACCUGAAGGAAGCACAUGCACACUCACAAAGGGGAUUUGUUGUGUUGGAGCCCAUCCCAGCAUCACAUCAAGCAAAAAGCAGACUACUCCCUGGACUGGUCACCACUGGGUCACAGGGCAGCCAUUUGCUGAGUGAGCCAAAGGUUGCCUGGUGCCAAAUGAGGGCAGUUCAAUGGCUAAGCCUCUUUAGCUGCAUGUGGGCUGCACAACGGAAAGACUUGAUGCACACACUGGAUAAAUGGAUCUUCAACAUAAAGGUCAGUUGCUAGGAAGCUUUAUGAGGCAGACCAUCAUAUUUAGUAAAGCAUAUAUAUAUAUUAGCAUUCUGAAUAAAGUACUUAAAGUAUUUAACACAUUGGCUGCCAGUGGUGGCGAUAGAC